rnacentral:rRNA from 1 species
GACGAACGCUGGCGGCGUGCUUAACACAUGCAAGUCGAACGAAGUGGCGAACGGGUGAGUAACGCGUAAUCAACCUGCCCUUCAGAGGGGGACAACAGUUGGAAACGACUGCUCAUACCGCAUACUGAAGGAGGGGAUUGCGUCUGAUUAGCUAGCUGGUGGGGUAACGGCCCACGAUGGCGAUGAUCAGUAGCCGGUCGGAAGGGAUGAACGGCCACAUUGGGACAGAGACACGGCCCAGAGUCCUACGGGAAGCAGCAGGGGGGAAACUUCCGAAAUGGACGAAAGUCUGACGGAGAAACGCCGCGUGAGUGAUGACGGCAUUCGGGUUGUAAAGCUCUGUUAAUCGGGACGCGGUACCGGAAUAGAAAGCCACGGCUAACUACGUGCCAGCAGCCGCGGUAAUUC